rnacentral:lncRNA from 1 species
UUUUGGCAUCUUGGUGGACUUUUUUUAUAUCAUUACGGACGGUAUCUGCAACACCAAAACAUUUCACAAACAACCCACAAUCACAAGCCUUUACCCGCAACAACAAGACAACAACACAAUACAAAAAGCAAACAUAAACUUAAAAAGAGUAAAAGAUAGCUAACUUGACACAAAGAGAACCCAUUAGGUAGCAACUAAAGAGUGUAUCAAAACUCUAAAACCUCUACAAAAAAAGUUAACAAGUACCAAGUUCUUACGAUGACUGCCAAGGGAAUCAACUCACCUCAAGAUCCACCGUUUCCAAGCAAAGAACAAUACUAACUUUUCUAAGCCC